rnacentral:lncRNA from 1 species
AUGCAGCUCGCGUCCACCUCCUGUGCAGCUCGCGUCCAUCUCGCGUGCACCUCGUGUCCACCUCUCGUGCACCUCACAUGCACCUCGUGUCCACCUCACGUGCACCUCGCGUCCACCUGCCGUGCACCUCGCAUCCACCUCCCGUCCACCUGCCGUGCACCUCGCAUCCACCUCCCGUCCACCUCGCAUGUACCUCGCAUCCACCUCCCAUGCACCUCGCGUCCACCUCCAAUGCACUUCGUGGCCACCUCACGUCCACCUGCCGUGCACCUCGCAUCCACCUCCUGUGCACCUCACGUCCACCUCGCGUGCAUCUGGCGUACACCUCCCGUGUACCUCCUGUGCACCUCGCAUCCACCAGCCGUGCACCUCGCAUCCACCUCCCGUCUACCUCCUGUGCAUGUCGCAUGUACCUCGCGUCCACCUCCCAUGCACUUUGCGUCCACCUCACGUCCACCUCACAUGCACCUCCCGUCAACCUCUCAUGCACCUCCCGUCCACUUCCCGUCCACCUCCCGUGCACCUCGCAUCCACCUCCCGUGCACCUCGCAUCCACCUCCCUUGCACCUCACGUCCACCUCCCGUCCACCUCACGUCCAUCUUCCAUCCACCUCGCAUGCACCUUGCGUCCACCUCCUGUCCACCUCGCGUGCACCUCGCAUGCACCUCCCGUCCACUUCCCGUCCACCUCCCGUGCACCUCGCAUCCACCUCCUGUGCACCUCACGUCCACCUCAUGUCCACCUCCCGUCCACCUCGUGUGCACCUCGCAUCCACCUCCCGCCCACCUUGCGUGCACCUCCCGUCCACCUCACGUCCAUCUUCCAUCCACCUCACAUGCACCUUGCGUUCACCUCCCGUCCACCUCGAGUGCACCUCGCAUGCACCUGGCGUACACCUCGUGUCCACCUUCCAUGCACCUUGUGUCCACCUCCCGUGCACCUCCCAUGCACCUCCCGUCCACCUCUCAUGCACCUCACGCCCACCUUCAGUGCAUCUCACAUGCACCUCAUGUCCACCUCCUGUGCACCUCGCGUCCACCUCCCGUGCACCUCCUGUGCACCUCGCAUCCACCUCCUGUGCACCUCGCAUGUACCUCGCGUCCACCUCCCAUGCACCUUGCGUCCACCUCCCAUGCACUUUGCGUCCAUGUCGCGUCCACCUCCCGUGCACCUCCCAUCCACCUCCCGUCCACCUCCUGUCCACCUCCCAUGCACCUCGUGUCCACCUCCCGCCCACCUUGAGUGCACCUCGCAUGCACCUGGUGUACACCUCCCAUCCACCUCGCGCGCACCUCGUGUCCACCUCCCGUGCACCUCGCAUGCACCUCGCAUGCACCUCGGGUUCACCUCCCGUCCACCUCCCAUGCACCUCGCGUCCACCUCGCAUCCACCUUCCGUCCAACUCCCGUGCACCUUGUGUCCACCUCCCAUCCACCUCGAGUGCACCUGGCGUACACCUUCCCUCCACCUCGCGUCAACCUCCCAUGCACUUUGCGUCUACUUUGCGUGCACCUGCCAUGCACCUCGCGUCCACCUUGCGUCCACCUCCCAUGCACCUCCCGUCCACCUCCCGUUCACCACGCGUGCACCUCCCGUGCACCUCGCGUGCACCUCCUGUCCACCUCCCGUGCACCUCGCGUGCACCUCGAGUCCACCGCCCGUGCACAUUGCGUCCACCUCCCGUGCACCUCCCGCGCACCUCCCGUUCACCUCGCGUGCACCUCCUGUCCACCUCCCGUGCACCUCCCGCGCACCUCCCGUCCACCUCGAGUCCACCGCCCGUGCACAUUGUGUCCACCUCCCGUGCACCUCCCGUGCACCUCGCGUCCACCUCCCGUGCACCUCGCGUCCACCUCCCGUGCACCUUGCGUCCACCUCCCGUGCACCUCCCGUGCACCUCCCGUGCACCUCGCGUCCACCUCCUGUCCAGCUCCCGUGCCCCCCCCACCCCGUGCACCUCCCGUCCACCGCAGGACAGGCGUGUGCGCGGCCGGCGACUUCCUGUGUUGGCCGCCUCAAGCGCGGGAGGCGCAGCUUCACACUGGUCCCGCGCAGGCUGCCCGCCCGCGUCCGUGGCGCCGAGCAGCCCGAGUCUUCACCACACGGACGCUCACAAGCGGCCGCCUGGCCGAAGCACGUCUGCAGCCGGAGCGCCUUCAGGAAACCCGGCGACUGAAGGGGCGGAGGAUCCCUGA